rnacentral:misc_RNA from 1 species
UUGAGGUUUCAUCCCGUCUCGGGAUCCUCUCACACUUGCAUUGUUACAAAUGUUGCUUCAGCGGAGCGCAAGCAAUUGCCGCUGACUCUCGAGUUAUCGAGCCUCCGCUGAAGACCCCAACUCUUCGACUCAGCAAUAGUCUGUUACAGUUCAAAUUGAAACA